rnacentral:rRNA from 1 species
CGGGAGCGACUUAGCGGCGGACGGGUGAGUAACGCGUGGGUAACCUGCCCCAUACCGGGGGAUAACGGUUAGAAAUGACCGCUAAUACCGCUUAAGCGCACGAGGCCGCAUGGCCGCGCGCGAAAAACUCCGGUGGUAUGGGAUGGGCCCGCGUCUGAUUAGCUAGUUGGCGGGUAAGGCCCACCAAGGCGACGAUCAGUAGCCGACCUGAGAGGGUGGCCGGCCACAUUGGGACUGAGACACGGCCCAAACUCCUACGGAAGGCAGCAG